rnacentral:lncRNA from 1 species
ACCCCUUCUCUUCAACACACCCUUUUCUCUUCAUUUCCUGUCUGUAUUGGUAGGGAAUCACUAUAGCAACAAUCUGAAAUAAAUCAAUUCAGUUACUAUUUUCUAGAUGUUACAGCUUUGUUCAGAGGUCAGAUUUCAAAGGAAGCAAAAGACUGAGAUCCUGAGAGAUGAAGGAGGCAGAAUUUCCUGCUAACCUGGAUAACACCAAUGAAAGGAAUCAGAAGGUGAUCUCAUCGCUUCAAUCUCAGGACCAAUGUGUUGACAGAAUUAACUUAGGAUUCACUUUUCAACAAUAUAUCAGCACACAGAGAUGAACAGAAAUCUAACAUCUUUUCUAUGAAGAACUCAAGAAAGAAGAAAUAUUUUUUUAUUUCAUAUCCUUUCCUCACUCAGUAAAAUCCACUUUAUAAAGAUAUGGAUGCAUACAUUUAUUUAAAUGCUAGUUUGGCUUAAGAGAAUAAAGGUGUCUGUUUCAAAGCAUCAGAAAAAAGUUAUUUGUCCAAUUCUGGGCCAAAUGACAAACAGAUUGUAGUUCUUGGUUGUCUUCUUGGUCUCAAUGUUGGUGGAAAAUAAUUGCUUUGCAAAUAAUAAUCAAUUUUUGA